AUAAAGUUAGAGCACA
rnacentral:miRNA from 1 species